UUCAUCAAUUCAGUUUACUUGACUUUUAUUUUGAGAGCCGUAUUACUAGUUUUUUUUUUCACCGGAUGAGAAGAGCCGUGUCUAGAACAACUCAAACAGCGAGUAAACACGGCGUAGCCGGACGCCUCCGGUGUGGGUUCACUCACGGAACAUAAUGUGUUUUAAAAACGUGACGCGGCGUGAGGCGAUACCACGGGUCUCGUCCGGUGACCGACCGUCUGUAUUUCACGAAUCACACAUAUCGCUGUAACGUUUGCUGCAUAAAUAUAUAUUGACGUAUUGACUGAAGAAAGAUGCAUACAAUAAACAUCCAAGGGCAGCAAUAUAUACUGCUGCUCCUGUUGUACUUCUGAAAGCAGUUUGUAGCACAUUGCUUGUGCUAAGAGCCAACAUCCAGUCUUGACGAACCCAAAGGCUCUUUUAAGAGCCAUCCACUCUGCAUUACAGAGACCAUUUCGGUGAAGCUCACCAUCAUUGGUCACACCUGGUGAAGCUCACCAUCAUUGGUCACACCUGGUAAAGCUCACCAUUAAAUUGUUCGUCUUGUCCAUCUAGGUAAGUAUGAUUGUUAAACGUAGGGGUUAUAGUUAAAGUAGGGAUUAUUGAUUACUUAGAUCAGCAAAAAACUCAUUCAACUUUGUCUUCAAGUAACCCUUGACUUUAAAAUAUAAACACUAUUCAUUUGGUGUCAUUCAAAUGUUAAGUUUGUAUGUUACUUUACUACUGCUUUUCAGGGACCAUUUCGGUGAAGCUCACCAUCAUUGGUCACACCUGGUGAAGCUCACCAUUAAAUUGUUCGUCUUGUCCAUCUAGCUUGCUAACGCACCUUAAAAAAAGAGCCAGAAUCCCAAAAAACAGAAGCCCAAACUUUGAAUCCAAAAAAACAGAACCCAAAACACCCAAACCCAAAAAAACAGAACCCAAAACACCCAAACCAAAAACACCCAAACCUAACCCCCAAACUUAACCCCCAAACUUGAACCCAUUUUUACAGUGCUGAAAGAAGGACGUGCUGUAGUUCCAGUCUGCCCUGCUGCCUUCUUGAUCAACGCUGAUCUGAGGACUACGUUGGAAAAUCAGCAACAGCAAAACACAUUUGUUUAAUAACCAGCUGUUUUCCUUCACAUAGUGUUCAUUUUCUAGUCUUGUCUGGAUCACAUAUUAAACUUUUGUAUCACUGA